GGAAACGGGGGCUCAUACCGGAUGUGCCGAAAGGUGAAAGAUUAGUUGCCUACAGAUGAGCUCCCGUCUGAUUAGCUAGUAAGUGUGGUAAGAGCGCACCUAGGCGACGAUCAGUAACUGGUCUGAUAGGAUGAUCAGCCACACUGGGACUGAGACACGGGCCACACUCCUACGGGAGGCACGUAGUGGGGAAUUUUCCGCAAUGGGCGAAAUCCUGACGGAUCAAUACCGCGUGAGGCAGGAAGGCUCUUGGGUUGUAAACCUCUUUUCCCAGGGAAAAACCACAUGACGGUACCUGAGGAAUAACCCUCGGCUAACUCCGUUGCCAACCCCGCGGCUAUACGGACUGAUGCAAGCGUUAUCCGGAAUGAUUGGGCCCCAAUCGUCCGAAUGUCGCUAUGUUACUCUCCUGUUGAAUAUUGAGGCUCAAUCUCAUCCAAGCUGUGUAAACUACCUCUCUAAACUGCGUUCGGUGCACACGGAAUUCCUGGCGUACCGGUCAAAUGCGUUGAUAUCACGAAGAACACCGCUCUGCGAAAGCGCUCUUUUAAGCCGCAACUGAAUCCUGAUGGAACACACCUAUGGCAAGCGAUUGGGCCC
rnacentral:rRNA from 1 species